UACGUAGGUGGCAAGCGUUGUCCGGAAUUAUUGGGCGUAAAGCGCACGUAGGCGGCUUUGCAAGUCGGAUGUGAAAUCCCUCGGCUUAACCAAGGAAGUGCAUCCGAAACUGCAGAGCUUGAGUACUUAAGAGGAUCGCGGAAUUCCCGGUGUAGAGGUGAAAUUCGUAGAUAUCGGGAGGAACACCAGUGGCGAAGGCGGCGAUCUGGGAAGAUACUGACGCUGAGGUGCGAAAGCGUGGGGAGCAAACAGG
rnacentral:rRNA from 1 species